rnacentral:misc_RNA from 1 species
CCUUCACGAAGGCGCACACGCGCACACACGCGCGCCCAGAGCGAAGCUUUCGACGCAAGAACAGAAUUUACGGUGCGCGUGUACCUUCCCUCAGUUUGUUAUCGGCUUCCGUACGAGGCAGAUCACGUUGCACAUUUGUAUCAAAGUAGCCUUUAAGAACGUACAAAUUAAAUGAAAAUAAAUUCAUUAUUACCACCGUGAAGCACUUUUAUAAUCAACAAAAUAAAAUAUCGGGAGAACAAAAAACCAAAUUGACAACUGGUAUUUGCAACGAAUUGUGCACGUGCACGUGCGGCACUGGGCCAUCGCGCGUACCCGAGAAAACAAUAACUAAAGAAAACGAUAAGUUACAAAAAUUGAGCCAGCGUGAAACGUGAAAUUGGGACAAUUGGAGAAAAAGAAAAGCCUCAACAAUCGGUAUACAUGGGUCCGAAAUCCGCAAGGCCCGCCUCCAUACACACCGAGUACAACACAAGCUUGCGCAAUCUCAAGAGUAUCAAAUUUAAGUAAUCGAAAAUAUACACACGCAUAUGUAUAUAAAUAUAGUAUAUUUACAUAUGAAUUAAUGAAUAUAUCUGUAUAUACAUGUACAGAAAUAUAAUACAUUGAAAAUUGUAUGGAGAUUCGCAUUUUCUGUGCACGAAAAGGGGCGUGUAAUUAGUUACGUGACUUGGAUAAUAAAAAAAGCAACGCCACAAAUUGGAAACAGAAAACACAUCGUCGUAACAUCGUAACAUGCAAUAAAUCGAGAGCUAAUCGCAGCUCACUACUCUCGUCACGCUUCCAAUUAUAUCGACUAAUUUAACUAUCGAAGUUAUUAUUUUCCUGAAAAAUAAAGAGGCUACCACAACAAUCGGAGUUUCAAAAGUGUGCCAGAGUGUCAACGACGAUCGAAAAGAGUCUACGACUCGAUCGUAGAUUUAACAGGGUUGAAAAGUUGACGACGAUAAAUCAUCGAGGGCUGUGCUAUAUAUAUAUGAUACAUAAUAUAUUCGCUGCAUCGCAGUACGCGAAUCUGGAUAAAGCAGUUCUAAGAAAUUUUUGAAAUUUCUUUGACAUAUUUUCAAAACAGCGAUACCAGGGCGUCAUAAGACGUCAACUUUAUUGUUGUAUAAUACAUUCUGGCUGGAAAUCUUACGAGUGUAUCUUGCGCACCCACAAGUUUGGCAAAUAGAAAAAAAAAAAAGAAAAAAAAAACGAACGGAGCACAAGGGCUAUUGGAAAUCGGCUGUCCGAGUGAGUGAUCAAUUCAUUAUAGCUUCGCAUCCCUGGAAAAGAAUAACACUCCAGUAAAUGUAAAUGUACGUUUACCUGAGACAACGGAAAUCUUGAAAUAUAUAUUUUCUCAAUUGUCGAAGUGCUGUCGGUAGGCAAAAGCGUUUGUUUUCUUUUCCUUCGUGUCUGAUCGAAACGAGAUUUAUCCACUGAAAAGAUUCUCCCUGCUGCAUACUACUCGGAAAUACCUUGACGGACGACAGUUUCGCGAAAUUUUAUGUUACACGAACGGCGACGAAGUAAUUUCAAUUGAUUUUGUUUUUCGAGUGCGUUGCACUUUCCUGAGAAAAUCUGCUUGGGCGUCAUAAAAAAUACCGAGAAUUCUUGGAUCACUCAACGAGUUGCAACCUUUUGGCGACGAAGUAAAACGUCAAAGGCUAUAAAAAUCGUUAACCAAGUUCGAUUGCGAUUCACCUCGACUCGUGCAUCUGGCGUUUCUCCGAGGGGCUUGUUCCUCAAUCUUGUCCAGGGGCAACGACGACGACGACACCGGAGACAACGUCGCCGAUUAUUGUUGUUGUGGCAGAAUAACAGGGGCAGAGGGCGGGACGCGCGGAGAGAAACAGGGGAGGUGGUGAAGAGAGAACGAGGAGUACGAAGUUAAAUCGCCGCGACGAUUGAGUCUCGCGAGAGCCGCGAACAGGAAAACUAACCACCACCAAACGCUCCCGACCUCGAAUCCAAAGGGGAGGGAAAGGAAAAGAAAACAGAAUAAUUCACUGACCCAUGUGGAUCAACCGACUACAUAUUAUUUUUCAUUGGUGCGUUAUGAGUUUUAACGAAUGUUCAAAUACGAAAUGUACAUACGCAUGUUGAAAUAUAUAUGUUAAACGCUCAAGAAUCAUUCUCUCCGAGUUCCUGAAGAAUUUACGACGAAAGAUAAACGGAAGAAAAUCCAUCAGGACUUACUUCCUGGAGGACACGUCAAAGAUACUCAAACACAUUGACACUGACACAUGCAGACACUUAUAUAUUCAGGAAGUGGAUUCGCAAGAAGAUACUCGAUCGAAAAACGUCCUGAACAGAAUGAAAGAUCAAUGAUACAGAAGAGACGCGUAUUUACUAUGAAUUAGUGUCGCUGAUGCCUUGAAACUGAGGAAUACCUUCCAUCUCUUACGAAUGUUAUGAUUUUUCUACGUAAAACAAAAAAAUACGAUUUGAUCCGAGUGUCAUUUAAUUCCUCUGUUCGCGAUCCAGUGAUCGAUCGAUUACAUCCAGUGUGUGAAUUAUAUUUUCGAGCAACGAUUCAGUGGGAUUGGAAUUGCCGGGGAUCUUAAAAAUAACGAAAUUCUUGUUGAAUUGUUGAAGAGAUCGACUAGGAAAGAAAAAGAGAUAAAGCUAAUUUUUCCAGUUUCAAUAUUACCGAUAGUAUCGCUUACGUAUUACGGAAGAAAAUAAUAAGCAUUGUUAUAUAUUAAUACGCGAGAAUGGUUACGAAGUCGGAAAACGCGCGUAACGGGCACGAAUUGGCACCCCUCAACGAGGAACGCCAAGGUGGUCAUAACGUAACGAUUGUUGUGACCUCGAAUCAGAACGCAGCUGCAGGACAAGAUGGGAAUGAAAACAGAGCCGCGUGGAGCGGCAAGAUGCAAUUCUUCCUCAGCAUCAUCGGUUACAGUGUUGGUCUUGGAAAUAUCUGGAGGUUUCCAUAUUUGUGCCAGCAAAAUGGGGGUGGUGCCUUUCUCAUCCCCUUUUUCAUCAUGCUCGUACUGGAAGGAAUUCCCCUUUUCCUCAUCGAAUUGGGCAUGGGUCAACGCAUGAGACAGGGAGCUCUUGGGGUUUGGAAUACGAUUCAUCCCUGGCUCGGCGGGAUAGGAAUUGCUUCCUGUAUAGUGACUUUUUUCGUUGCUUUGUACUAUAAUGUUAUUAUCACAUGGUGCUUCUACUACCUCUUUAAUUCAGUUCAAACUAUCACGGUUAAAUUUGGAGACCCAUUGCCAUGGGCAUCGUGUCCACAAUUGGAUGGUAAACCGGUGGACGAGUGUGCCAAGAGUUCAGAGACAGCUUAUUUCUGGUAUCGCACCACCCUGGACGCUGCACCCUCGAUCGAAGAGGGUCAGGACAUCAAGUGGUGGAUUGCACUUUGUUUACUGCUCAGCUGGGUUAUCGUCUUCUUCAUCGUAAUGAAGGGAAUCCAAUCCUCGGGAAAGGUGGUCUACUUUACGUCCCUCUUCCCCUAUUUGGUGCUCACAAUUUUUUUCAUACGAGGAAUAACGUUAAGGGGAGCUGGUUCUGGUCUUGCUCACAUGUACACACCCAAGGUGGAAAAGCUGCUGGAACCAAGAGUUUGGCUGGACGCUGCGACACAAGUGUUUUAUAGUUUUGGUUUGGCCUUCGGCUCGUUGAUAGCCUUUGGGAGUUAUAACACACCGGAUAACAAUUGCGUGCGUGACGUCAUUCUUGUCAGUUGCUGCAACGUAUUCACUGCACUGUACGCCAGUGCCGUUGUGUUCGCGAUACUCGGGUUCAAAGCCAUGAGCAACGUUGACAAAUGCCUUGCCAGCAAUCGAGAAUUGCUCAUCGAUGCAGGAUUUCUCAGUGUCAAUGCUACUACUGAGCAAUAUCAAUUGGCUGCAGAAACUUACAAUACUUCGGGACAAAACUUUACCCUCGAUGCUUGCAGCAUCAGCAGUCAAUUGGAAAACGCCGCUGAAGGGACAGGCCUAGCUUUCAUAGUCUUUACCCAAGCAAUCGUUGAACUACCUGGUGCUCCAUUUUGGUCUUGUAUAUUCUUCCUGAUGUUAUUGGCGCUUGGGAUAGGCUCACAAAUCGGAAUUCUCGAGGGAAUGCUGUGUGUUAUUUUUGAUAUAGAUCUUUUCAAAAGGGUGAAAAAACAAUACAUUACAGGUGUUGUAUGCGUCGUUUGUUUCUUCGUUGGUCUCAUAUUCUGCACGGGAGCUGGUGAAUACUGGCUUAAAUUAUUUGACAGUUUUGCCAGCACCAUUGGGCUCGUGGUCGUCGCUCUAAUGGAAAUGAUUUCCGUUAUCUUCAUAUACGGUCAUGAAAAAUUUUCGAAGGACAUUCAAGAUAUGACUGGUUAUCGACCAGGCUGGUACUGGCAGAUAACAUGGCGGUUCCUCGCGCCCCUCAUCAUGGUCUGCAUCCUUGUUUCGAGUAUGGUUUCGAUGCUAGUCAAAAGACCCGAAUAUUCGGCGUGGAGUGCUUCUUUGGGGAUGACUGUACAAAGAAGUUAUCCCGACUGGGUGCUCGGAAUUGGCAUAUGUAUUAUUGUAGCCGGCGUUGCUCCGAUACCUAUCGUCUUCCUAUUGCGAAGAUUCCAAUGCGUUAAGCUCGACGUCGACAUACACCAGGGCAGUAUCCGGCGGAUUGACACGACGGUGUCAACCAAGGAAAUGAUGGGUGAUGUCGAUUGAGCCAAUUGAGCUUAUCCGGGAUGCUCACAUUGAAUGUACGAUCUGCAGUUGUAGCUGGACGAGUAUCACAGUAGACUGGAAGAUUUUUCAGAAGAGGAUGAGGACGUGAACAGCGAUGACGACAACAAUUCAGCACCGCAGAAUCUCCAAAAGAUGGCAGCAAAU